GACAGAGGGUGCAAACGUUGCUCGGAAUCACUGGGCGUAAAGGGUGCGUAGGUGGGCUAGUAAGUCCGUGGUGAAAUCUCUGAGCUUAACUCGGAAACUGCCGUGGAUACUAGUAGUCUUGAAUCUCGUGGAGGUAAGCGGAAUAUGUCAUGUAGCGGUGAAAUGCUUAGAUAUGACAUAGAACACCGAUAGCGAAGGCAGCUUGCUACACGAGUAUUGACACUGAGGCACGAAAGCGUGGGGAUCAAACAGG
rnacentral:rRNA from 1 species